rnacentral:rRNA from 1 species
AACGAACGCUGGCGGCAUGCCUAACACAUGCAAGUCGAACGAGACCUUCGGGUCUAGUGGCGCACGGGUGCGUAACGCGUGGGAACCUGCCCUUAGGUUCGGAAUAACUCCCCGAAAGGGGUGCUAAUACCGGAUAAUGUCUUCGGACCAAAGAUUUAUCGCCUUUGGAUGGGCCCGCGUUGGAUUAGCUAGUUGGUAAGGUAAAAGCCUACCAAGGCGACGAUCCAUAGCUGGUCUGAGAGGAUGAUCAGCCACACUGGGACUGAGACACGGCCCAGACUGCUACGGGAGGCAGAAGUAGGGAAUCUUCCGCAAUGGGCGAAAGCCUGACGGAGCAAAGUCGCGUGAGUGAUGAAGGUCUUCGGAUCGUAGAACUAUGUUAUUAGGGAAGAACAAAUGUGUAAGUAACUAUGCACGUCUUGACGGGAGAUAAUUAGAAAGCCACGGCUAACUACGUG